GUUAUAUAGAAUUAGGCUCAGAUUAGGUUAUAUAGAAUUAGGUUAGGCUCAGAUGAGGUUAUAUAGAAUUAGGUUAGGCUGAGAUGGGGUUAUAUAGAAUUAGGUUAGGCUGAGAUGAGGUUAUAUAGAAUUAGGUUAGGCUGAGAUGAGGUUAUAUAGAAUUAGGUUAGGCUGAGAUGAGGUUAUAUAGAAUUAGGCUCAGAUGAGGUUAUAUAGAAUUAGGUUAGGCUGAGAUGAGGUUAUAUAGAAUUAGGCUCAGAUGAGGUUAUAUAGAAUUAGGUUAGGCUCAGAUGAGGUUAUAUAGAAUUAGGUUAGGCUGAGAUGAGGUUAUAUAGAAUUAGGUUAGGCUGAGAUGAGGUUAUAUAGAAUUAGGCUCAGAUGAGGUUAUAUAGAAUUAGGUUAGGCUCAGAUGAGGUUAUAUAGAAUUAGGUUAGGCUGAGAUGGGGUUAUAUAGAAUUAGGUUAGGCUGAGAUGAGGUUAUAUACAAUUAGGCUCAGAUGAGGUUAUAUAGAAUUAGGUUAGGCUGAGAUGAGGUUAUAUAGAAUUAGGUUAGGCUGAGAUGAGGUUAUAUAGAAUUAGGCUCAGAUGAGGUUAUAUAGAAUUAGGUUAGGCUCAGAUGGGGUUAUAUAAAAUUAGGUUAGGCUGAGAUGGGGUUAUAUAAAAUUAGGUUAGGCUGAGAUGAGGUUAUAUAGAAUUAGGCUCAGGUGAGGUUAUAUAGAAUUAGGUUAGGCUCAGAUGAGGUUAUAUAGAAUUAGGUUAGGCUGAGAUGGGGUUAUAUAGAAUUAGGUUAGGCUGAGAUGAGGUUAUAUACAAUUAGGUUGUACAGCAUCCUGCGCUAAGACUGUUAUCUGUAUAGGGUAGUUAAGACUGUUAUCUGUAUAGGGUAGUUAAGACUGUUAUCUGUAUAGGGUAGUUAAGACUGUUAUCUGUACAGGGUAGUUAAGACUGUUAUCUGUACAGGGUAGUUAAGACUGUUAUCUGUAUAGUAUAGUUUUAACUUUUUAAAAAUCUGUUUUUAACUAGGCAAGUCAGUUAAGAACAAAUUCUUAUUUUCAAUGACGGCCUACCAGGGAACAGUGGGUUUAACUGCCUUGUUCAGGAGAAGAACGACAGAACGACAGUCAUAGCCACUAGGCUACCUGCCACCUGUUUUCUGUAUGGGGUAGCUAAGACUGUUAUCUGUAUAGGGUAGUUAAGACUGUUAUCUGUAUAGGGUAGUUAAGACUGUUAUCUGUAUAGGGUAGUUAAGACUGUUAUCUGUAUAGGGUAGUUAAGACUGUUAUCUGUAUAGGGUAGUUAAGACUGUUAUCUGUAUAGGGUAGUUAAGACUGUUAUCUGUACAGGGUAGUUAAGACUGUUGUUAUCUGUAUAGGGUAGUUAAGACUGUUAUCUGUAUAGGGUAGUUAAGACUGUUAUCUGUACAGGGUAGUUAAGACUGUUGUCUGUAUAGGGUAGUUAAGACUGUUAUCUGUAUAGGGUAGUUAAGACUGUUGUCUGUAUAGGGUAGUUAAGACUGUUAUCUGUAUAGGGUAGUUAAGACUGUUGUC